rnacentral:lncRNA from 1 species
AUAUAUUUAUAUUCAUAAACCUUAGAUAGUAUAGCUGUAAAAGUGUAUUACAAAUCUUUGGAAAAAAAUAUAGGGAGACCAUGCUAUGCUAAGCUAUAUAGUUGGACCAACACAAAAAUAUCUCUGGGUCAACCAGAACAGCAAGACACAUGGACCACCACCCUCACGUGCACCAUAUUAAUAGUCAAUUGGUCAACAAUAUAGUCUAUGUAUGGGCUUCAACCUUCAGCCAAUUAGAAGCUAGCACCUGUGAGAACAAUGGAGAAGGGGAUGGGCAGCCAUACCCGCCAAGGGAGGUGGAUAUCAGAUAUUAGAUGGCUAGGAGAGCAGAGUAGGCAACUGCCAAGUUUCACUCGUCUCAGCUCUACCCAAAAUAGCCAGACCAAGCUCUCUUCUUCCCAGCAGCACUAGCAUUCCCCUGUCCAAAACCAACAAAGAUACAAGAACAAUAAGUGAAGAUGGUGACAUGAGAAAUCAUCAGUAAACUGAAGGGGACAGGCUAGAGCAAGAAGCUAGCCUACUGGACUGGGGUCUGGAGCACAAGAGCAGCAAGAGUAGGGCCAACAUAGAGAGCAGCAGAAGAAAGGUGAGUUCUUCCUCUUCUGCCAGUUCUUAGUACUCACAUACACAAAGAGGCCUAACCCAGAUGCACACACAAUAUUCCUCAAUGGAUUUUCACAUAUGCACAUAAAAGAUAAGCAAUCACAGUAGCAUCACAUCUCAGUUUUAGGAAAUAAAAGUAUGAGGAAGAAAGGGGAUACAGCCUCAAAUAACUCAAAUAAAUGGAUCAGGUUAUUGUACAGUAUCACUACACCAAAAUCUUGAACAGGGAGUGAUGAACUUGUUCAACACACGCAUGUGAGCCAAGUUAAUUUACUAAAUCUGAGAAGUUGAGCAUAAAAAAAUUAGGGAGAGGAACAAGGCAUACUAACCUGCACAAAUGUUUGAUCCGCUCCAUGGCCACGCACUGGAGCUCUGACCUGCACCAUCCAGCAUCACGGCGGCGCCCAACACCGGCGACUUCGAUCUGGAGCGGGGGAAUCACAUCCCCAAUAGGGUUUGACCUGCAAGUCAAGAAAAUAAAACACACAGGGGGGAUUAGAGAGUUUGUGAUAGAAAUCCAUGGAGGAAAAUUGGGGAUUAACACUAGGGAAGAAGCAGAGUUGUGGAUCCAGCAGCGGCAGCUUCCCUAUCGCCGGCGGCAUGGCCGAUAUGGCUGGAUUAGGAGCAGAGGGAUAGGAGGGAGAGGAGUCUUGUACGUGUGUUCUUGUUGGACUUGGACUAGUACCAGUCUGUAUUUUCUUCGGUUGAGAAGUACUAGUACUCCAGUGCAAAAUAGUACAGGAGAGAGAGAGAGAUUUAGAGAAAGGGAGGGCACGUGGAGGAUAAAUUAGCUUAGUAACUUACCCAGGUGCACACCUAGUACACGUACUAAUGCAAGCUUAGUAAAAAGACAUUAGAAAAAAAGUAAUAUUUGACUAUAGGAUGACCACACUACAUCGUCGUAUAUUUUUAUUUCCCUAGUAUUCACUCGACUUAGUCUCGAAAUAUAUAUUUGCCGAACUGCAGGAAGCGAGUACAGUCAGGAGAAGGAGGCGCUACAGAAGCAAAUUGAGUCCGGGUCUGAGUACGAGAACUCAGGCAAGCUCUUCUUGAUCAUGCUGAGUAGAACUAUUUAAAAAAAAUUCUAUGAUGUAUCUUAUCAUCAACUUGCAUAAAAUGUUUUUGAGAUAAGUUGUGUGGAGUGAGUGUUGGUAAAUAGUUGGGUUAGCUGAUGGAGCAGCUAAUCAAUUUUUGUAUAUAAUUAUUUGGUGGGUAGGGGGUGCCGGAAUGGUCAUAUUGGGAGGUGGGGUCCUCUACAUAUGGCUAUGAUAUUAAUAUUAAAAAAAUUCACUCGUUUUAUGCACCGUACUACAACCGUAUCAACCAUGGUCUCGUCUAAGACGAGUUGAGCCCAAUACCAUCAAGUUAUUAUACUCUCCACAUGGGUAAGUAGUAGUAGGAUGGGCGAUGAGUUCCCAUGCUAAUGCCGGAUGGGUGCAUUAGCAAGCGCUAUAUAUUAAGCGUUGGUGGAGUGCGGGUUCCGAAACCUGACACAACGGCUAGUGACCACUAGCCGGGUGGAGAUAUAAUAUACAAAUGGGAAAAAGCUUAGGUUCUAAACCAUGUCUCGCAUCUAAGGAAAUGCAUAUGGCAAUUAUGGUUUCGAGCUCUAUGGGUAAAGUGAUACAAACUCUGCAGAGUUAAAGUAAAACAUGAAUUCAUGCCAGUCUCUUGGACUGGGGAUUAUGGGGACCUAUUGGUGGUCUAUCUCGCAAUACGAGUGUUUGAUAGCUUUUAUAAAUUGAAAUAAACUUUCUGCAACAAAUGUUUAUUUUGAAAGGUGUUGAGUUGAGGUAGGACUUGUUGAUUUAUAUUGAGCUAUCAUGAGUGUUGCAUUUUGCUAUUUGAGCUUGCUGAGUACUUUGUACUCACUCUUGCUAUUAAUCAUCUCCUUCUUAGAGCAAAGCUUGUAUGAUAAUCCUGCUGGACCAAAUGAGGAGAGCAAUGGUGAUGGGUACAACUACACAGGGGACCUAGAUGUGGAUCCAUCUAGUGCUAUGUACGAUCUGGAUGCUACAUAUGGGGGUUGGGAGGAAUAACUAAUGAUCUAGCUAUGUAAUCCAGGAACCAUUCUACCACCACCUAUCUAGUACUGCUAGUUGGAACUCCAGAGUUAGGAGAUGUAAUAAUUGGGUGAACAUAUGAGAAGCCUACUUGAGACUUUUAGCCCUGCGUGGCAUGGUAUUGA